rnacentral:rRNA from 1 species
GAUGAACGCUGGCGGCGUGCCUAAUACAUGCAAGUCGAGCGAACGGACGAGAAGCUUGCUUCUCUGAUGUUAGCGACGGACGGGUGAGUAACACGUGGAUAACCCACCUAUAAGACUGGGAUAACUUCGGGAAACCGGAGCUAAUACCGGAUGAUAUUUUGAACCGCAUGGUUCAAAAGUGUAAGACGGUCUUGCUGUCACUUAUAGAUGGAUCCGCGCUGCAUUAGCUAGUUGGUAAGGUAACGGCUUACCAAGGCAACGAUGCAUAGCCGACCUGAGAGGGUGAUCGGCCACACUGGAACUGAGACACGGUCCAGACUCCUACGGGAGGCAGCAGUAGGGAAUCUUCCGCAAUGGGCGAAAGCCUGACGGAGCAACGCCGCGUGAGUGAUGAAGGUCUUCGGAUCGUAAAACUCUGUUAUUAGGGAAGAACAUAUGUGUAAGUAACUGUGCACAUCUUGACGGUACCUAAUCAGAAAGCCACGGCUAACUACGUG